UCGAGAAUUUUUCACAAUGGGCGAAAGCCUGACCCAGCGACGCCGCGUGCGGGAUGAAGGCCUUCGGGUUGUAAACCGCUUUCAGCAGGGAAGAAGCGAAAGUGACGGUACCUGAAGAAGAAGCACCGGCUAACUAUGUG
rnacentral:rRNA from 1 species